rnacentral:rRNA from 1 species
GACGAACGCUGGCGGCGUGCUCAACACAUGCAAGUCGAACGGAAAGGCCCUGCUUUUGUGGGGUGCUCGAGUGGCGAACGGGUGAGUAACACGUGAGUAACCUGCCCUUGACUUUGGGAUAACUUCAGGAAACUGGGGCUAAUACCGGAUAGGAGCUCCUGCUGCAUGGUGGGGGUUGGAAAGUUUCGGCGGUUGGGGAUGGACUCGCGGCUUAUCAGCUUGUUGGUGGGGUAGUGGCUUACCAAGGCUUUGACGGGUAGCCGGCCUGAGAGGGUGACCGGCAACAUUGGGACUGAGAUACGGCCCAGACUCCUACGGGAGGCAGCAGUGGGGAAUAUUGCACAAUGGGCGGAAGCCUGAUGCAGCAACGCCGCGUGCGGGAUGACGGCCUUCGGGUUGUAAACCGCUUUCGCCUGUGACGAAGCGUGAGUGACGGUAAUGGGUAAAGAAGCACCGGCUAACUACGUG